rnacentral:rRNA from 1 species
UACAGAGGGGGCAAGCGUUAUUCGGAAUUAUUGGGCGUAAAGGGCGCGUAGGCGGCUUUUCAAGUGACGGGUGAAAUCCCUCGGCUUAACCGAGGAACUGCCUGUCAGACUGGAAGGCUUGAGACCGGGAGAGGUGAGUGGAAUUCCCAGUGUAGCGGUGAAAUGCUUAGAUAUGACAUAGAACACCAAUUGCGAAGGCAGCUCACUACGGGAUUAUUGACACUGAGGCACGAAAGCGUGGGGAUCAAACAGG